UGUGAGCCAUCAUCCCGACUUCUUAAGAAGUUCUUUACCACAGGCUUGUAGCUGUUGUUCUGGUGCUGUGUUCUGACCACACAGCAGUGUUGUCCUUCCUUCAGAUUGUACAUGGCAUGGGGAUUGCUCAGCCUGGUAGUGAAUCUGACAUGUGAAACUCAUUUAGAGAGUGAUUCAAAUACCAGGACCAUCCAAAGAAUGUUUAAAGUUUCCAUUCCACCAAGCAGCUUUACUCUAUGAGCAGACAAGAGUUCAGGCAGGACACACCCAAGACUGCGGUGGACUCCAGAGCUCCCAGGCAGAGCUCUUGGUAGGGAGCCUGGAGACAAAGAAUGGUGGACCCUCCCUGUGGAGGAUCUCUGCAGGAGUGAGUGAAGAGAGAUAGAAGAGCUGCAGAGUGAGGAUGACAGACAAACACGUGAACAGCUCCUGGCAGUUUUCCCUGAAGCUGAAGUGAAGCUGGACCACAGCUGAUUAAACUAAAGAUGCUCAGCCUCCCAAACUGGCAAGAAGAACUUGGGUGAUGUUACCAAAGCAGGCGUGAAGAUUCUGAAACUCUCUGGGAAAUCAGCUUUAAUGAGGACGUGCUUUGCUUCUCCUUCUGAAAGAAAGCUACCAAGACUUGUCAGUGUGAUCCCUACAGCCGCGAUAUACAUCCCAGGCAGGACGGCCCUGUUUAAAGUCACAUUCCUAUCUUGUCACUCCGUUUCUCUUGAUUGUCAGUGG
rnacentral:lncRNA from 1 species